rnacentral:rRNA from 1 species
ACAGCAGCAGCCGCGGUAAUAUGGAGGGGGCUAGCGUUGUUCGGAAUUACUGGGCGUAAAGCGCACGUAGGCGGCUUGGUAAGUUAGAGGUGAAAGCCCGGAGCUCAACUCCGGAAUUGCCUUUAAGACUGCCGAGCUAGUAGGUGAGAGAGGUAAGUGGAAUUCCGAGUGUAGAGGCGAAAUUCGUAGAUAUUCGGAAGAACACCAGUGGCGAAGGCGGCUUACCGGCUCAUUCUAGACGCUGAGGUGCGAAAGCGUGGGGAGCAAACAGGAUUAGAUACCCGUGUAGUCCCUGUCUCUUAUAC